UACGUAGGGUGCGAGCGUUGUCCGGAAUUAUUGGGCGUAAAGAGCUUGUAGGCGGUCUGUCGCGUCUGCUGUGAAAAUCCGGGGCUCAACCCCGGACUUGCAGUGGGUACGGGCAGACUAGAGUGUGGUAGGGGAGACUGGAAUUCCUGGUGUAGCGGUGAAAUGCGCAGAUAUCAGGAGGUACACCGAUGGCGAAGGCAGGUCUCUGGGCCACUACUGACGCUGAGAAGCGAAAGCAUGGGGAGCGAACAGG
rnacentral:rRNA from 1 species